rnacentral:rRNA from 1 species
UACAGAGGCCUCGAGCGUUAGGCGGAAUCACUGGGCUUAAAGCGUGUGUAGGUGGAUGCCUAAGUGCCUUGUGAAAUCCCACAGCUUAACUGUGGAAUUGCUGGGCAUACUGGGUGUCUUGAGCCACUCAGGGGCUACCGGAACAAAUGGUGGAGCGGUGAAAUGCGUAGAUAUCGGGAGGAACACCUAUUGCGAAGGCAGCUCGCUGGGACGUUACUGACGCUGAGACGCGAAAGCGUGGGGAGCAAACAGG